GUCUCCCUGCAGCUCAAUGGUUAGAGUAUCCAACCGGUGUGUGGAAGGUCAUGGGUUCGACUCCCGUCGGGGACU